GGUUCUACCACAAUGUCAGGCCACAGAUCGACACAACACGCAUGGAGGAAGGCCGCGUUGACAAACCAUAUGAGCUCUGCCAAACCAGAUCAAUGUCACAGGCUUAGACCUAAUGGCAGGAUGGUGAACGAGGAGAGAAGUUUGAUGUGGGAUUUCAGCAAGCUGGCAAAUGACCAUUUCCAGGCACCAUAUUCCCAAGACGCCCCGGUGCUGCUUUUCUUCUCUUCCUGAUGGAAUCGGAUGAGCACAACCAAGGGAGACAUUGUUAUCCACUGGCUAGGAUCCCCAAAAAAAACAAGGCGUUACCAAGACAGCCCGCUCUGACAGCUCACCAUAUGAGAAUAUACGUCAAGACAACAGGGAAAAAUAAUAAUAAUAUGAUUUAAAACACUUCAGUUUUAAAAAAUCCUUUCAUGUACCAUAAAUCGAGUGAAAUGAUAGCUUUCCCUUCCCUUCUGUAAACUGUGUGUAUAAUGCACUUUCUAGAACAACUCUCACUUCCAAAAGAAUAGGUGGAUGCAGCAGCAGCAGUUGAUUUGGAAAAAUGAUGUGCAAAUUGAAAUGAAUUGAAAUGGUUACAGAUUUCUACAGGGUCGAAGGGAUUUGAAUGGGAAGGAAUAAAAAAUAGUAUUUUCAAAAUACGCAUCUAAGAGGAAAAAAAUAAGGGGGGCCCUAAGUGUGAAAGUUAAUGUAUAGAUCUGUGCUAGGCAAGAAGGAUGUGAAUGCUCCUUCUGUCUGGGCACUUAUAGAGCAGUGAUGUCCUGGAUUACAGGGUAAAUCUGGGGAGAGAGGAACACCAGAGAUCAGCCCCCCCCUGUGGGGUGCAGGCUGACGCAGAAGAAGGUGGGAAAAUACAUAAUUUAAUGGAUAGCAAAUAUUCUUUAAUGCUUUCACACGUAACGGUUCAAAUUACUGUGUCUCGUGAUCUCAUUUGAAGAAAAAAACGGAGAAUGGGACUUCCAUUUCCCCGUGAAGCAGAACAUAUUGCAGAGGUGAGCACCAUUAGAGAUCUUCAGACAUGAUAACUCAACAGAAUGAACCGCUUGGUGGUGAUUUUGUCUCAACAGGGUCCUAAGAGCCUAUCUACAAGUAAAGGUUUGAUUUAGAAAAUACA